rnacentral:misc_RNA from 1 species
GAUGAAGAACGUAGCGAAAUGCGAUAAGUAAUGUGAAUUGCAGAAUUCAGUGAAUCAUCGAAUCUUUGAACGCACUUUGCGCCCGCCAGUAUUCUGGCGAGCAUGCCUGUUCGAGCGUCAUUUCAACCAUCAAGCCCCAGGCUUGUGUUGGAGCCCUGCGGCUGCCGCAGCCUCCCAAAACCAGUGGCGGGCUCGCUAUCACACCGAGUGCAGUAGUUUACUCUUCGCUCAGGGCGUGUGGCGGGUGCUAGCCGUGAAACCCCCAACUUCUCAAGGUUGACCUCGGAUCAGGUAGGAAUACCCGCUGAACUUAAGCAUAUCAAUAAGCGGAGGA